UGUUGUUGCAAUAGUAGUCUUGCUUAGUACGAGAGGAACCGCAGGUUCAGACCGUGGGUGCGUGCGUUUGGCUGAGUAGCCACUGGUGCGAGGUGACCAUCUGCGGGCUUAUGACUGAACGCCUCUAAGUCAGAAGCCCACCUAGACGUAGCGAUACCGCAGUGCCGCUGGUGCCUCGGUGGGCUCGCGAUAGCUGACUGCCCGCCCUGUGCGGGGCGGGCCUGGUGUGGAGCACCACUUAUGGUCGGAACCAGAGGGGUGGACAGAUGCGGCACCGCCUCUCCCCUGUCACAUACCACAUGAUCGUGGGGCACCCAGCACUAAACCAUUCGUAGCUGACCUGAUUCUGGGUCAGGGUUUUGUACGUAGUAGAGCAGCUCCCUCUCUGCAAUCUAUUGAGAAUCAGCCCUUGACACAAGCUUU
rnacentral:ncRNA from 1 species